UUUCCGUAGGUGAACCUGCGGAAGGAUCAUUACCAAAACUUAGCUGUCUGGCCGCAAGGCUCUGACGCUUCAACCCUUUGUGAACCAAAAAACCUUACGCUUCGGCAGCCGCGCCGGUUGGGAACAGCCUGCGCUUCAGCCUGCCGUUAGCACCAAACAUCAAAACUUGCAGUCAAAAACAUUGUCUGAUACCAAAUUUUCGAAUGAAAAUCAAAACUUUCAACAACGGAUCUCUUGGUUCCC
rnacentral:misc_RNA from 1 species